rnacentral:misc_RNA from 1 species
CUGCGAUAGGCUUAUAGCAACCGAAGAUGGCCUCUAAGCUUAUGGCAAUCGUCUGCGUGAUUGCUCUACUUGUUUCCUCCCAUGCCACCAUAACAUUAGAGAAAAAUAGUUCAUCGAUGGAGAAGAAGCCAAUGAUACCUAAGGGGUCCUCUCAGAACUUUGGACAUGGGACUGGGGAUGCAAAAAAUUGGUUUUGGGACGUGAUAUGCCGCCUCUGCCAGUGGUAGUCUGAUGCUGCAUACUCCACUACUUUACAAGUUGUUUGAAGCUUAAAGUGUAGGUCGGAAUGAGUCCUGUGGAGACCAAGCUGCCCUGGAGUUGCUUCUAUGCAGUCCUGGUAAUAAGGUUGUAACAGCGUAACUAAUGGUCUUUUUAAAAAUAUAUUUUAAAUUUAAU